rnacentral:misc_RNA from 1 species
GAUGAAGAACGUAGCGAAAUGCGAUAAGUAGUGUGAAUUGCAGAAUUCAGUGAAUCAUUGAAUCUUUGAACGCACAUUGCGGCCAUAGGUAUUCCUUUGGCCAUGCCUGUUCGAGCGUCAUUUACACCCUCAAGCCUAGCUUGGUGUUGGGCGCCUGUCCCGCCGUUUUCGCGCGCGGACUCGCCUCAAAGUCAUUGGCGGCGGUCGUGCCGGCCCCCUCGCGCAGCACAUUUGCGCUUCUCGGAGGCCCGGCGGAUCCGCGCUCCAGCAAGACCUUUCACGACUUGACCUCGGAUCAGGUAGGGAUACCCGCUGAACUUAAGCAUAUCAAUAAGCGGAGGA